GACGAACGCUGGCGGUGUGCCUCACACAUGCAAGUCGAGCGGAUGACGGUGGUAGCUUGCUACCAUCGAAGUUAGCGGCGGACGGGUGAGUAAUGCGUAGGAAUCUACCCUAAGGUAGGGGAUAACGGGCUGAAAGGUCCGCUAAUACCCCAUAUGCGGGUUCUCUUCGGAGGAUUCGUGAAAGGAGCAAUUCGCCUUUGGAUGAGCCUGCGUCUGAUUAGCUAGUUGGAGGGUAAAAGCCUACCAAGGCUACGAUCGGUAGUUGGUCUGAGAGGAUGACCAGCCACAAUGGGACUGAGACACGGCCCAUACUCCUACGGGAGGCAGCAGUGGGGAAUCUUGCGCAAUGGGCGAAAGCCUGACGCAGCGACGCCGCGUGAGGGAUGACGGCCUGGUGU
rnacentral:rRNA from 1 species